rnacentral:lncRNA from 1 species
AGUGUUGUUGAACACGGAAAAUACCCAAAAAUAACACGGGGGUUGUUUGGCUUGAUUAUUAUCGAGAACUUAAUUCUCUCCAGCUUACUAUGGCACAGAGCCCUGGAACAGGAAUUUUCUAGAAACUACCAGGGUAGGCCAGGGGUCUAGAGGUCAGGCUGGCUUCCAGGAUCAUUCCAAAAAGAAAGCCAAAGUUCCUCUGCGGGCAUUUCCUCCCAGGCCUCCAGGGGCUGGUGCCAGCGCCCCAAAGGCCGCCCCUUGAGCCUUCCUGUCCUUUUCCGAGAAGGGGUGACGCUCCGUGCUGGAGCCGCGUCCCAGGGCGGUUUUUAUUUUCAGUACACAUCACGGAAAUUCAAGGACAGCAUCCCUGGGUGACGCGGCAAGCUCGAAGAGACUGUUCUGUACAGAGUGGCCCCAGCCUAUAAAUAGCCUCGGGCUUGGCCCAACAGUGCUUGCCACCUGCCCUGGCAAAUGCCCCCUCCCCUCCCCCCCGCCACCCCCCUCCAGCAACCCGGCAGGACUGGAGCUCUUCCCGAGCUGCGGAUUUUGUGGAUCAGCCCUGAAUAGCUAGACAGUGGACCUUCUCUCGGAAAUAGCCUCUGGAGCUGAGGAAAUGAGCCUGCGCGGCUUGGGGCUCUAUUAGGGCGUUUGGCCUGCCACCUUGUGGCCAAGUGUCGUUCUGCGCGGGCUUCUCUUGCACAGGGAAUCGUGCAUUCAGAGAAGUUUGUCUUUGGCAUCGCCCGACUGCCCCAUCCCAGCCUUAAAUUCAAAGGAUUAAGCCCGAGAUUCCGACAUUGGUCAUCCCGGGGGCAGACAUCUGCGGACAUCAGGAGCCUUGCUGUGCUUCUAUCAAAACUAGCUGAGUGGCCAAGGCAGCGAGGUGUGAGUCCCUUCCAAGGAAGGAAGGAAGGAAGGAAGGAAGGAAGGAAGGAAGGAAGGAAGGAAGGAAGAAAGAAAGAAAGAAAGACGAGAAGAAAGAAAGAAAGAAAGAAAGAAAAGAAAGAAAGAAGAAAGGGAAGAAGGAAGGAAGGAAGGAAGGAAGGAAACAAACAUUUACUAAAUGCCUACUAUGUGCCAGGGACUGCUAAGGGCUUUACAAAUAUUCUUACAUAGUCCUCAGAGGUAAGUGCUAUUAUUAUCCCCAUUUUACAACUGAAGAAACUAAGGCAGCCAGGUUAAGUGAUUUGCCCAGGGUGGCACAGCUAAUUUCUGAGGAUGUAUUUGAACUCAGGUCUUCCUGACUUUGGACCCACCACUCCAUCCACUGCACCACCUAGCUGCCUCUAUAAUGGAAUAGAGCUCUGGACUUGAAAUCGGGAGAUUGAAUUCUCUUCCUGGCUCUGCUUCUGAUGAGGCUCUUUGGAGCCUCAGUUGCCUCCUUUAUAAAGCUUAGCUAAGAAAACUUGGAUCGACCACCUCACAGAGAAUCUUGGCGCUGUAGAAAUGUGAGCCCUAGUUAUGCUAUUGGCUGGGUCACACUGGAGAAGUUCUUUCCUCUCCUGGAAUGGUUUCUUCCUUUGUGAAAGUAAGGAAUAACCGAAUGCUGUCAGAGCUAACAUUCUUUCUGCAAUGGAUGAGCUUGCCGCAUUUCCUUGGCCUUUAUUGCUGUGGAUAUCCAGGAUGAGCUCUGAAAGGAAGCCUUUAUCUUCCAUGGAGGAGAUGUGCCCCAUUGGGAAUGAAGCCAUUUGGAAUGCGUCUCCUAAUUUUUUUUUUCUUUAAAUCCUUACAUUCCAGAACCCCUGGCCCAAGUGCCAGACAAGGGGGAUCUCUAAAGAAAGAGAUGCCUCAGUGAAUUAAAAUCCAGGCCUAGAGAUGGGAGGUCCUGGGUUCAAAUCUGGCCUCAGACACUUCCUAGCUGUGUGCCUUGGAACAAGUCAUUUAAUCCUCAUUGCCUAGCCUUUACAACUCUUCUGCCUUAGAACCAAUGCUUAGUAUUUCUUCUAAGAUGGAAGGUAAGCUUGUUAUUUUUUAACCUCUGUUUUCUUAUUAGAAGGGUAUUUUAUUUUGCCAAUUACAAGUAAUAACAAACUUCCACAUAAGUUUUCCAGCAUUACAUGAUCCAAAUGAUCUCCCUUGCCCUGGAAGGUAAAUUUUAAAAAAACGACUUUCACAAUUAGAUCAGGAGAGCUUUUUCAGCAGAGGACACAGUGAAGUCUUUCAUGCUUUCAAGUCAACAUGGAUGGAGGUCCCUAACGAAGAGUUCUGAGGGCCUGGACUUGACUAAAAUCAAUGAAUUGUAUCUUUGAAAUUAGGAAGAGUUAUAGAGUUGAUAUAAGGAAAAACUACUUUGCCAUUGGAACUAUCCAGAAGUAGAGGAGACUCCCUUGAGAAGUGGCAGGUUUCUCUUCCUUGCCAGUCUUCAAGGAAAGGCUGUUAGUGGUAAAGGACAUUUGUUUAAGAUGUGAGACAGACAAGGUGGCCACUGUGGUUCUGGAUGAAGAUGUGGAUUAUACACAUAUCCAGUCUGCUGGUGGAAAAGACAAUUAACAGGUUGGACAAUGAAGGAUUCAAAAAAAAAAUUUCAGCAGGCUAAAAUAAUGGGCCAGAUCUAAUAAAGUGAAAUUUAGCAGAUCUAAUAUUUAUUGG